rnacentral:lncRNA from 1 species
GUUUUUUUUUCUUUUUGUUUUGUCGACGAGAUCUUUGCAAGAUUCUUUUACGGCGCCACGUGCGUUGCGCUGAUAGGCAGCCAAGAUUUCUUUUGGUUGGCAACUUGACAGGCAGUCAAAGUAAACCUGAUAUGCAGUGUAGUGGACCGCUUGCGUGUGUAGGAAGAAGAGAAGCAACAAAGGGCCGUCGAAAGUGGGCAUCCGAACCGCAGGUGUGAAGUGAGAACGCACGGCAGUACUACAAAGUUAAAGUUGGAGCACAUGGCGCAGACGAGGAACGACUGCCGUCGGCGGGCAGGGGAUAAACCCAUUUUUUGAUUUUAAUAUUACUACUAGGAAACGGCUGCAGCGACUCGGCCGGCCCCACCCCCACGGCCGAAAACCCCCUUUCUUUCUAUUUCUAUUUCUAUAUAGGGUACAUCGUCUGCUCCUCCCGUUCCCCUCCAAAAACCCAAACCAAAACCAAAGAGAGCCCCCCACCCAUCCAUCGGCUUCGGCUUCGGCGUCGGGCGUCGGCGUCGGGCGUCGGCGGGCGGCAUGGUGGUCUGCGUUCCUGCCGCCGAGACCCCUGCGCUGGAGCUGGGCCCUCUCCACAGCUCGCUCUGCCUCGCGCCCGCCGCCUCGCUGGAACUUCCCCUUCCCGGCAUGGCGCGGGCCGACGCCAGGCGGCCGUCGGAGGGCCCCGAUCAGAUCCCAGGCAAUCCACCUCGCCGCAUUGCGCGCCUCGUCCAUCUGGAUCCCGCGCACCUCGCCGCGGUGACCGCGGCCCUUGGGCUCCACAUCGCCGGCGGCGCAAGCCCGAUCCCCUCUCUCGUGCAGCGCAGAGACGACGCCUCCGACUCCGGCUCCGGCUCCGGCUCCGGCUCCGACGACGACACCGGCCAUCCUAAUGACCGGCACCUCUGCUACCCACUCAUCCAGUUGCUGGAAACAGGGGGCGCCCGCAUCUUCUUCCCAGGCUCGGUUCCAGACCUUCCCGACGCUCCGCAAGGCGGCGGCCUGCACAGGUACAUACCAUAUGCGCCGACCAUCGCCACCCCUUCGUCCUGAAUGUCUGAUUUGAUUCCGCGCAGUUUCUCCACCAAGUCCAACCUCACUGCUCCAAUCAUAUUUUUUUAUUUUUUCUGUACAUUUGAUUUGAUUCCGUACGCUACACACUCAUCGUCAAUCAAUCCCAUUUGGUAAUGGUCAGAUCGUGCCCGUCGUGCGAUUGCGGUCCUUAGUUUGAGCAGUAGCGCUUUUGGGUGCAUUCACGGAUGCUACUUCUGAUGCGGUGGAGUAGUUUUCAAUGUCUUUCCUUUUCCAUAAACAGCUUUCCUUUCUAGUAUUUCUGAUGUGUCCUUUUUGUUUGUGUUUUUUGGUCCGUGUCUGGUGUUUUUCUGUGUCCAAGACUAGCGGUAGCGGGGCAGGGAGCUAGCUAGUUGCUCUUAACUGAUUAUAGUCAAUUGAUUGGCAGUACACAAGUACCUCAACCUAUUCAACCAGGGACAGUCUUUGGAAUAAUAAACCAUGCGGUUUCUUCCACCCCAAAUGUUGCAUCCACACAUGUCCUGCAAAUGAUGAUGUUCAAAGCAGGGUGCUUGCUUGGGGGACACAGCGGGCCAUCAGCCAUAACCUUAUUUCGAUUGAUCCAGCCGCAGCCGUAACCCAUCUUGCUUUCUGCUAUCAACUAUGCAAAGCAAAUGGAUAUUUGAAUGCAUUUGUUUCCUGUCGAUGCUUUCCAAACAAUGUCAGAGUUUUACUUGGAAACUACCAUCCUUGCAUGUAGAUUACAUGUUUAGCGCCUUGGUACAUCAGGGUUUGAGCAAUCUGAAGCCGGAGGGACACUAACCCUUUUGAUCACAGUGUAGAGUUAUUUUUUCUGAAGACUCUAAGCAAACUUCCAUUGCCUACCUCUUUGCAUGCUUUCCUGUUAUAUGUCGGUUAUGGUUGAUCAAACUUGGGGCUAAAUCUUUCGGUGCUUGGCCAUGGAGCCAUCUAGAAUGCCAAGAACAUAAAGACACUUCAUACCUCGCUCUGAUCUGUAACACCACAUCCAGAAUGGCUUUCACACCGUGAUUGUUGUCUCCUGGGUCCUUUGGAAAGAAAGGAACAAACACAUGUUCAAUAGCUAAAGGAGAAUGACCCAGGAUGUUAUCUUUGCCAUCUCUAAAGAAAGGGUGCCGUGGAGGAUGCGAAGAGUCAUGGAGUACUAUAGAAUGCUUGGCCGUGCGACCAUCCUGUGCUUAUUUGCUUAAUGUAUCUUUUCUUAUAGGGUGAUUGCCUGUUGCUGCUCUUCAGUGUAUAGUUCUAGCUGUUUGUCUCUUGCUGUUGUAUUGAAUCUUUAUCUUGUUUCUUGAUACAAAUAUGGGCAGUCCCCCUGCCGGUUCUCUGCAAACAAAAAAGUUUUGGCUCUAUGUUGAGGCUGCAAAUAAGACUUUCUCACUCUCGUCACAGUUCACAAGUUACCUGUGUACCUACCCAGAGCUUUUGCUUGUUAUUUCUGUACACAAAGUUCUCUUCGUAUAGAAAAAUGUAUUUCUUGAGGGUAAACUACCUACUGAAUAUUUCCGAAAGAAAAUUUUCCUAGUGGAUCCCCUGUCUAAUGCAAACCACCAAGCUUUCUUGCUGAUAAUCUUAUCGUGUGUACACCAACUCUGUUUCAACUGUUCUGGAGAUUUUGAAUCACUACUAUUAUGGCAUACACAUAAUACAAUUCUGUAUAACAAGUAUUUGAGGGCGAAAAAUAUUCAUGGGUCAACGUGGGACCAAAAACAGCCCACCUGAACUCAUCAUUCCAUUAGAAGACAGAUAACAAUUUCUACAUUCAUAGCAAAAUCUUACAAUAAGGGAAAUGUCGUUUGUUUUUUUUGCACAAUUUCUAGUUCACUGUGAAUAGCAUGUUAGGUGGUUUAAAUCAGUGCAAGUGGUCCAUAAUAUUUACAUUGGUUUCCUAGUAAGUCAAAAUUAGCAGAUACGCAGAGAAGAAGAAUACGUAGCAAAACAAUGUUAAUUCAAGCCUUUCAGUAGGUGAUAAUACUUCCAUUCUCAACAUGAGUCAUCACUACUAAAUAAAUAAAAAGGAAAAGAUGCAUAUACAUCACACUGAUGCCUUGUAGAACAUUGCAGACAGCCAGGGGGCUCAUCACUGUCAGGUUAUUGAAGCCACAUGUCAUUAAAAAGCGUAGCAGUUAUACAAAUUGACCCGUUUCAAACCAAAAGACGGAGCUGUAAUUUUUAAGCAAGGUCCUGCUUUAAACCAGGUACAUUAUGAAAACAUAUAUUUAAAAAUUCCAGCUGAAGCUAAUAAAUCCUGUUCUGUUUGUCUUUACAUUAUGAGGUUUCUUUUUGGUAUACAUCAUGCAAUGCAUAGUUGAAUUGAUGUUCUUGGUGAGGACAAUAGUGUCUUCGAUGCUUUAUGAUUUAUAGAAACUUCCAGAAACCUUGUAUUUAUGCACUUCUUUUUGCGGGUGGUGUAUUUAUGCACUUUGAAGUACAUUAUGAAGUUUUAAUCUUGACCAUAUUACAGGAUAUCCGAUGCAUAUGGCAAUCCAUAUAUCCUCAAGGCAGGCACAGAAAGCUUUGCAGGUCCUUGUGAGCUGACCAAUGAAACGACAAGGACUUGGGUCAUUAGGCUCAAAAUCACUACCAAACUCGUUUCUUUAAGUCAGCAACAUCUGCAUGAGCAGAAUUGGGAAUUGUCUGAAGAAUGCUUUGCAGAGGUAGCUGGGCAAUCUUUAGAGAAGCUCCUUGAAGUUGCAUGUUCCUUCAGUGAUGCCAAUUGGUCUGAUGUCCAUAUCCACAACAGCUGUCUGUUUUUGACGCACUUGUUGAUGUCCUAUUCAAUAUACAAGACCUACGUUUCAGCAGAUCUGGUGAGGUUGCUGGUAUUAUUAAUAAGAUGGUGAAUGCUUUCAAAGGAGUGAUUGAGGGGACUUCAAAUGAAAUCUGUGGCAUCAAAGAAUCCACCAUCCACCCAGCAACUUUCGUUCUCAUACAAGUCCUGGAAUUCUUCUGUCGUAACAAAGAUAUGGUGCAGUCAAUACUUGAAUCUGGAGAUUACAACACUGGCCCAUGCUCUGACAUGUUUUCUUGUUUGGCAUCCAAGCUCAAGGAAUGUGCAGAAACAGUUUUCCAACAAAAGGGACAAAGGUACAUAUUUGUGUUAAAUAACAUGUAUUAUGUUCUGCAAAAGAACCGCCAUUCAGGAUUACUCCCUCCGAAUGUAGCAGCUACUUUGGUUUCAGUGAUUGACCAAUACGUGGUGAGCUACCUUGAUGAGUACUGGUUUCCACCUAUGCUGUUGUAUCUGGAUGGGGAUUCUCUGAAGAAGCCACGUCGUUCAUCCCUGCAUAAUUUUAUUGGAGAAUUCUUCAGAACAUGUAAUGGCCAGAUGACUUGGAAAGUUCAAACUGAGCUUAAAAACAUACUACGGGAAGAGAUAGUGAAUUUGAUCGUUCCAAAAUACGUAAACUUCUCAGAGGUGCUGCAGGCAAAUCCAAGGCGGUGCUGGUCGUCUUGGUUAAAGGGGAUGUGGCGAACAAGAUCUGAGAAGCUGGAGUGUACUGGUGCAGAUUUGGCAAAGGUGAUUGGAAGAUUGUUCGAGAGAUAACAGGCGGCAGGUAACACAGAAGAGAGGGCACACCAGGCUUAUAUGGGCGGGUGCAUUUAUCCUAUAUUAGCAUUUAGAAUGCAUUUUGUGUGAUGGCUCCAUAUAUGCGACAUUUUCUGGUAUGAGCCUGCUUGCUGUAUUAGCAAGAUUUAGCGCUGGAGGUUCCGGAUAGAAUUUAGUGUAUGCUGCAUAUUACCUGCAGUUUUGUUUCUGUCGUAUAUAUAGUUUUUUUUGUUACGUGUAUGUAAUAUGUAGAGGAACUUCCAGUUUUGUUUGUGUAAAAUGUAUAGAUUUUUGUCUCUCUCUAUCUCUCAAACACGCACGUGCUGCUAAUGUUGGAUAUAGAUAGCAUGUUAGAAAUGGUAAAAAAGUAAUGUUGCGGGAAGAUAUCUGACCUGGCUGGCCAUUGUAGACUAGCUAUUUUAUACUGGACCUGUUUGUUGUGGUGAAUGAGCGGCAUUGUACAAUUGCUGAUUCCUGCGAUGGAAGUGGAACUAAUUUGAAAUUCAAUUUUUCGUACAUGUGUACAUGUCGCAGGCUUUGUAUGCUAGAUGAUGGAGCAAAUGUCCACCAUUGUGGAAAAGAUUCGAUGCAGCUUCACCACUCGGGUAGGAAUUUUUCUUAAGAAUUUCUUUGUACUAAUUUCAAUAGGAUUUGUAGCGGCCAUUCAAAUCUCUUUGAAACAAUCCUUUGUUUUUUCUAUGAUGCAAUCAAUCAAUCCUAUAUUUUUCCUAGUCUCGUGUUCUUGGAAACCUGCGAAUCAAAAAGGCCCUUAAUGUGUGUGUGCUUGUUGGGUAUGGGUGCUUGUUUUUGGCUGAAGAAAAUACAAUUUACCUAAAGUGAAGUGGAACAGCUUACAGGUACGUAGUACUCAGAUUUGGACAUUAUGGCAAUAAUAACAGCAACAACAAAGUCCAAAACAUUACAUUGAUUGAAUACAAGCUUGGUUUGCAAGAGUUGGAGAACAAGCUCCUAAACUAGUGCACACAGCACCUCACAACCACACGGGUUUACAUGAUUCCAAAUAUCCAAAUACAACCCACUAAUUACAUAGAACACAACAUAAGCAAAAGUACAGCAAAUUGUUCUGAUAAAAAGCAAGAUCUCAACAGUCCACUCGCCGGAUAGUCCUGCCCAUGCCUGUCGACCCAGGGGUCGAACAUGACCGGAACUGGAGCACGAAAGUCAGAUCACCGUCGGCGACGAGCGCCCAGACGACUCGCAGUUGCCUCUGGGUCAGCCGGUCGGGAGCGCACAACCAACAGAUCGGCAUCGCGCCUCCGGAGUCCUGAGAGAAAGCCAAAGGGGGAUGCAGCGCCACACGAACCCGCGCCACCGCCGACCAAGUCGGAUCCUUGAGCGAGCUCGCGUACGGACGUCAUCCACCACCACCACCCACGCGAUUCCAUGGUUCCCAUCGGCGGCGACG